rnacentral:rRNA from 1 species
UCGCCUGUUUUAACAAAAACAUUUCUUCUAGUGUGUAAAUGGGGGUAGGCCCUGCCCACUGCAAUGUAAAGGGCCGCAUUAGCCUGAGUGUGCUAAGGUAGCGCGAUAAUUUGCCUUUUAAUUAAAGGCUGGUAUGAAUGGGUUAACGCGAGAGUUUCUGUGUCAAAUAAAAGAGUUAAAUUUAAUUUUUAGGUGAAGAAGCCUAAAUAGCCUAGGAGGACGACAAGACCCUAGAAUCUGGUUUAAUCUGGCUAGUUAAGUAGUUGGAGUAAUAUUUGUUGGGGCAACAAGAUUAGUAGGAAUAAUCUGGUAUAAGAGACUUAUUCGUUGGUUCUGUUUUUACAAAGAUAGUAAGUUACUCUAGGGAUAACAGCGUAAUUUCUUUUGAUAGUUCUUAUUGAAAAUGAAGUUUGCGACCUCGAUGUUGAAUUAAGGUAGCCUUAAGGUGUAGCCGCUUUAAA